rnacentral:rRNA from 3 species
UACGUAGGUGGCAAGCGUUGUCCGGAAUUAUUGGGCGUAAAGCGCGCGCAGGCGGUCCUUUAAGUCUGAUGUGAAAGCCCACGGCUCAACCGUGGAGGGUCAUUGGAAACUGGAGGACUUGAGUACAGAAGAGGAAAGCGGAAUUCCACGUGUAGCGGUGAAAUGCGUAGAGAUGUGGAGGAACACCAGUGGCGAAGGCGGCUUUCUGGUCUGUAACUGACGCUGAGGCGCGAAAGCGUGGGGAGCAAACAGG